rnacentral:snoRNA from 2 species
UUGCAAAUGAUGAGUUACUCGGAUUCUUGGAUGAUGCAGGCCGAGAUUCUGAUGCA